GAUGAAUGCUGGCGGCGUGCUUAACACACGCAACUCGAACGGAAAGGCCCAAGCUUGCUUGGGUACUCGAGUGGCGAACGGGUGAGUAACACGUGGGUGAUCUGCCCUGCACUUCGGGAUAAGCCUGGGAAACUGGGUCUAAUACCGGAUAGGACCACAUUUUGGAUGGUGUGGUGGAAAGUUUUUCGGUGUGGGAUGAGCUCGCGGCCUAUCAGCUUGUUGGUGGGGUAAUGGCCUACCAAGGCGUCGACGGGUAGCCGGCCUGAGAGGGUGUACGGCCACAUUGGGAAUGAGAUACGGCCCAGACGCCUACGGGAGGCAGCGGUGGGUAAUAUUGCACAAUGGGCGCAAGCCUGAUGCAGCGACGCCGCGUGGGGGAUGACGGCCUUCGGGUUGUAAACUCCUUUCGCUAGGGACGAAGCGUUUUUGUGACGGUACCUGGAGAAGAAGCACCGGGUGACUACAUA
rnacentral:rRNA from 1 species